GUAAAGAAAAAAGGGGCUGGGACUGUUUUUGAAACAAAGAUAUUUUUGCGAUUUACCAUUUCCUUUUUUCCCCCUAUGUUUUGUUUUGUUUAAAGUGCCUGCUUGCUACUUUAACAUGUUAUUUUUCUGUUUCUUUUUCAGAUUAUUCUUGGAGAAACCCUGUCUGUUUACUGUAACCUUUUGCACUCAAAUUCCUUUAUCAGGAAUAACUACAUAGCCACUAUUUACAAAGCCAUUGGAACCUUUUUAUUUGGUGCAGCUGCUAGUCAGUCCCUGACUGACAUUGCCAAGUAUUCAAUAGGCAGACUGCGGCCUCACUUCUUGGAUGUUUGUGAUCCAGAUUGGUCAAAAAUCAACUGCAGCGAUGGUUACAUUGAAUACUACAUAUGUCGAGGGAAUGCAGAAAGAGUUAAGGAAGGCAGGUUGUCCUUCUAUUCAGGCCACUCUUCGU
rnacentral:lncRNA from 1 species